rnacentral:lncRNA from 1 species
CAUACUUUCUUUUUCCUUGGCUACCCACUGAGGUAGCAGUUCUGGUGGAGUUCAGCUGCCCAGCAAGGUAAAACCACCACAGGGAAAUAAGCAAAGGAAUGAAUAUGAAGUAGCCGAAGCAAAGGAGCUGAAAAGGGCAGGCUGAUGCUGCAAUGAGAGCAGUAGCAGGAUGCUAUCACAGCAAGAAAUGAACUGCUGGUGGAAAAUAUUUUCCGUAGAUGAUUACAAAUUUUUUCAGGUGAGAUUUCAAAGGUAAGAGAGUCAGGUGUCUAAUUUCCUACAUUCCUUAAAAAAUUCCAACCAGAAAGACAGCUGACAUAAGCAGUUGAUAUUUGUCCCUAAAAGAGAAGGUGAAAGUAUAUCUGCACAUUUUUUUUUUUUUUUAAUGAUUUUUUAAGAUGAUUAUCAGGCAAUGUUUAUACCUGGAGCAAUUAUAUAGUGAAGGCUAUAGAGUUAGGACUUGUAAUACUGUCUAUUAUUCAUUGAACGCCUACAUUGCAUUCAGGGAAAGGUACAAUCCAUGCUCCAAGGAGCUUUGCUGUCAUGUUCAUGAUUAAUGAUUGUAGCAUUCAUGUGGACUUGGGCAGCUCUCAGUUUCAGAAAGCUGUAUCGGUAAGUUUGAUAUUUGGGGGGUGGAGGGGGAGGGAGAAGAGAGAGGGAGAAGGGAGAAGGGAGAGGGGGAGGGAGAAGAGAGAAUAGUAAAAGUACUGACAAUAAGGUUUUGUAGCUUCUGUGGUUUAGCUGAGGUUUGUAAAAUGCAUGUCAUCCAAAAUCAUUUUUUAACAGGAGUCUUUUGGGACUGGGUGAAGUGCUGCUGAAUUCUAGACCAGACAUGGAUUCUGUUUCAUUUUUCAGUCAUUAUGGUAGACAUCUACCAGUUGUGCCUGCUUCCUUGAUCACUGGUGUGCCAAGAGACAGGCUUUAUCCCAGGAUGAAUGCUGUAACUUCCCAUGAGAAACAAAAGUUUAUCAUUUGCCAGCUGCUAUUCCAGAAGGGAAUGAAUUUCCCAUGGAUCCUGUACCAUAUUAAGCUGAUGUUUCAGCACGUCUGAAUCCAGCUUUUGGACAUGGUUUUGUAUUAUGCUCCAGGAAGCUGAAGUCUGUGAUCUCUAUGCUGUGAAUUUGAGUAAUUAAAAGGCUUGCAUAUCCCCAC